GUAAGGUCUACUACACCUGUUGUAUUCAGCAUUUCACUGUGAGGUCUAACUACACCUGUUGUAUUCAGCAUUUCACUGUAAGGUCUACUACACCUGUUGUAUUCAGCAUUUCACUGUAAGGUCUACUACACCUGUUGUAUUCAGCAUUUCACUGUAAGGUCUACUACACCUGUUGUAUUCAGCAUUUCACUGUAAGGUCUACUACACCUAUUGUAUUCAGCAUUUCACUGUAAGGUCUACUACACCUGUUGUAUUCAGCAUUUCACUGUAAGGUCUACUACACCUGUUGUAUUCAGCAUUUCACUGUAAGGUCUACUACACCUAUUGUAUUCAGCAUUUCACUGUAAGGUCUACUACACCUGUUGUAUUCAGCAUUUCACUGUAAGGUCUACUACACCUAUUGUAUUCAGCAUUUCACUGUAAGGUCUACUACACCUGUUGUAUUCAGCAUUUCACUGUAAGGUCUACUACACCUGUUGUAUUCAGCAUUUCACUGUAAGGUCUACUACACCUGUUGUAUUCAGC